rnacentral:rRNA from 1 species
GCGUAGAAAUCUGCCUGGUAGUGGGGGAUAGCCCAGAGAAAUUUGGAUUAAUACCGCAUACGCCCUACGGGGGAAAGCAGGGGACCUUCGGGCCUUGCGCUAUCAGAUGAGUCUGCGUCGGAUUAGCUAGUUGGUGGGGUAAUGGCCUACCAAGGCGACGAUCCGUAGCUGGUCUGAGAGGAUGAUCAGCCACACUGGGACUGAGACACGGCCCAGACUCCUACGGGAGGCAGCAGUGGGGAAUAUUGCACAAUGGGCGCAAGCCUGAUGCAGCCAUGCCGCGUGUGUGAAGAAGGCCUU